rnacentral:tRNA from 1 species
GGAUAGAUGUCUGAGUGGCUUAAGGUAUCAGUCUUGAAAACUGAAGUGUUGAAAAACACCGGGUGUUCGAAUCACCCUCUAUCCG